rnacentral:piRNA from 1 species
UAGAAAAAUUGCACAGGGGUUCAUUUCUA